GGUAAAAUGACUGAAUUUAGGUGAUAAAUUGUAAAUUUAUUUAUGGAUUAAUCAUCCUUUUACUA
rnacentral:tRNA from 1 species